UACGAAGGGUGCAAGCGUUACUCGGAAUUACUGGGCGUAAAGCGUGCGUAGGUGGUUUCUUAAGUCUGCUGUGAAAGCCCCGGGCUCAACCUGGGAAUUGCAGUGGAUACUGGGGAGCUAGAGUGCGGUAGAGGGUAGUGGAAUUCCCGGUGUAGCGGUGAAAUGCGUAGAGAUCGGGAGGAACACCAGUGGCGAAGGCGGCUACCUGGACCAGCACUGACACUGAGGCACGAAAGCGUGGGUAGCAAACAGG
rnacentral:rRNA from 1 species